rnacentral:rRNA from 1 species
CCUACGGGAGGCAGCAGUGGGGAAUUUUCCGCAAUGGGCGCAAGCCUGACGGAGCAAGACCGCGUGCGGGAGGACGGCCUAUUGGUUGUAAACCGCUUUUGAUAGGGAAGAAGUACUGACGGUACCUAUCGAAUCAGCAUCGGCUAACUCCGUGCCAGCAGCCGCGGUAAUACGGAGGAUGCAAGCGUUAUCCGGAAUUAUUGGGCGUAAAGCGUCCGUAGGUGGUUGUUCAAGUCUGCUGUUAAAGCGUGCGGCUUAACCGCAUACCAGCAGUGGAAAC